AGAGUUUGAUCAUGGCUCAGAGCGAACGCUGGCGGCAGGCUUAACACAUGCAAGUCGAACGGACGCAGCAAUGCGUCAGUGGCAGACGGGUGAGUAACACGUGGGAACGUGCCCUUCGGUUCGGAACAACCCAGGGAAACUUGGGCUAAUACCGGAUACGUCCGCAAGGAGAAAGAUUUAUCGCCGAAGGAUCGGCCCGCGUCUGAUUAGCUUGUUGGUGAGGUAACGGCUCACCAAGGCGACGAUCAGUAGCUGGUCUGAGAGGAUGAUCAGCCACACUGGGACUGAGACACGGCCCAGACUCCUACGGGAGGCAGCAGUGGGGAAUAUUGGACAAUGGGCGCAAGCCUGAUCCAGCCAUGCCGCGUGGGUGAUGAGGGCCUUAGGGUUGUAAAGCCCUUUCGGCGGGGAAGAUAAUGACGGUACCCGCAGAAGAAGCCCCGGCUAACUUCGUGCCAGCAGCCGCGGUAAUACGAAGGGGGUUAGCGUUGCUCGGAAUCACUGGGCGUAAAGCGCACGUAGGCGGAUUGCUAAGUCAGGGGUGAAAUCCUGGAGCUCAACUCCAGAACUGCCCUUGAUACUGGCGACCUUGAGUCCGGGAGAGGUGAGUGGAACUGCGAGUGUAGAGGUGAAAUUCGUAGAUAUUCGCAAGAACACCGGUGGCGAAGGCGGCUCACUGGCCCGGUACUGACGCUGAGGUGCGAAAGCGUGGGGAGCAAACAGGAUUAGAUACCCUAGUAGUCC
rnacentral:rRNA from 1 species